rnacentral:tRNA from 1 species
GCCGGUGUGGCGGAAUUGGCAGACGCGCCAGACUCAAAAUCUGGUGUCUAUAAAAGGAUGUGUGGGUUCGAGUCCCUCCGCCGGCA